rnacentral:rRNA from 1 species
GGGCGUUAAGUUGCAGGGUAUAGACCCGAAACCCGGUGAUCUAGCCAUGGGCAGGUUGAAGGUUGGGUAACACUAACUGGAGGACCGAACCGACUAAUGUUGAAAAAUUAGCGGAUGACUUGUGGCUGGGGGUGAAAGGCCAAUCAAACCGGGAGAUAGCUGGUUCUCCCCGAAAGCUAUUUAGGUAGCGCCUCGUGAAUUCAUCUCCGGGGGUAGAGCACUGUUUCGGCAAGGGGGUCAUCCCGACUUACCAACCCGAUGCAAACUGCGAAUACCGGAGAAUGUUAUCACGGGAGACACACGGCGGGUGCUAACGUCCGUCGUGAAGAGGGAAACAACCCAGACCGCCAGCUAAGGUCCCAAAGUCAUGGUUAAGUGGGAAACGAUGUGGGAAGGCCCAGACAGCCAGGAUGUUGGCUUAGAAGCAGCCAUCAUUUAAAGAAAGCGUAAUAGCUCACUGGUCGAGUCGGCCUGCGCGGAAGAUGUAACGGGGCUAAACCAUGCACCGAAGCUGCGGCAGCGACACUAUGUGUUGUUGGGUAGGGGAGCGUUCUGUAAGCCUGUGAAGGUGGCCUGUGAGGGUUGCUGGAGGUAUCAGAAGUGCGAAUGCUGACAUAAGUAACGAUAAAGCGGGUGAAAAGCCCGCUCGCCGGAAGACCAAGGGUUCCUGUCCAACGUUAAUCGGGGCAGGGUGAGUCGACCCCUAAGGCGAGGCCGAAAGGCGUAGUCGAUGGGAAACAGGUUAAUAUUCCUGUACUUGGUGUUACUGCGAAGGGGGGACGGAGAAGGCUAUGUUGGCCGGGCGACGGUUGUCCCGGUUUAAGCGUGUAGGCUGGUUUUCCAGGCAAAUCCGGAAAACCAAGGCUGAGGCGUGAUGACGAGGCACUACGGUGCUGAAGUGACAAAUGCCCUGCUUCCAGGAAAAGCCUCUAAGCAUCAGGUAACAUCAAAUCGUACCCCAAACCGACACAGGUGGUCAGGUAGAGAAUACCAAGGCGCUUGAG